CGGGAGUUACCGUCCAAUAACAGGAGGGGAUGGGCUGCCUGAGCCAAUAAGAAGUCUGUAAGGCGGGGCCAGGACUGCAGCAAGUUCGGUUGCGCGGAAACCGCAGCUGUUCCCUGUCAGUGGAGGUAGCGGCGGUAGAGACGGUGGCGACGACUUGCGGCGGAGGCGCGGAGAUAGCAGCUGCCUUCUGAGAGCCAACAGAAAACUGAGGGUAAGUCCGUGCCUGAUUCCA
rnacentral:lncRNA from 1 species